UACGAACUGUGCAAACGUUAUUCGGAAUCACUGGGCUUACAGGGUGCGUAGGCGGCUUGUUAAGUAGGGUGUGAAAGCCCCCGGCUCAACCGGGGAAUUGCGCCCUAAACUGGCGAGCUGGAGUGAGAUAGGGGUGUGUGGAACUUCCGGUGGAGCGGUGAAAUGUGUUGAUAUCGGGAGGAACACCAGUGGCGAAGGCGGCUACCUGGACCAGCACUGACACUGAAGCACGAAAGCGUGGGGAGCAAACAGG
rnacentral:rRNA from 1 species